CUGACUCUCGGCUACGACUGAGCUCCACUUUUACUCUCAGUCGGCGGCUGCCUCUAGGUGGCAUCCCGCCAAUAGGCUCGGCGGUCAAAGGUCUCCGCCUUUCCCUAAAAGUAUCGUCAGUUGAUCUCAUACUAAUAAUAUAUACAGGAGGUGCGGGUGGGGGUCCUACACCACCUCCCCUUUUUUCGCAAAAAACGAAGUUUUUCAAAAAAAAAAAUGUU